rnacentral:misc_RNA from 1 species
GAAACACUGCAUUUUGUCAAAAUUACCAAAAUCCAUAUUUUUAAGUUGGAAAAUUAUUUUAAUUUGCAUAAUUUAUUUAUUUAUAUGUAAAAAAAAAAGUGAUCUAAGACCACGACAGCAAGCUGAGAGCGUCAGAGGAAAUACAUUAUUGCAAAAAAAUUUAUGUUAUAAAAAACAAGAUAUUGCUUAGAAUAAAAAGGACUGAAGUAGCAUAUGCCAAGCAAAUGGGAUAAAGCUUUAAUGACAGAAAAUGAGGUCAUCACCA